rnacentral:miRNA from 14 species
AGCUGUGUCCUCAUACUGCCCUU